rnacentral:tRNA from 1 species
AAGGAUUUAAGUUAAAAAAACUAUUAACCUUCAAAGUUAAAAUUAAAUUUUUAUUUAAGCCUUA